UCUUGAUCUGAAAUUUUACGAUGCCAUACAUUGUA
rnacentral:sRNA from 1 species